rnacentral:rRNA from 1 species
CCUACGGGAGGCAGCAGUAAGGGAUAUUGGUCAAUGGCCGAAAGGCUGAACCAGCCAUGCCGCGUGAGGGAAUGAGGCCCUACGGGUCGUGAACCUCUUUUGACCGGGGACAAGGACGGCGUCGCGAACGUCGUUUGAGGGUACCGGUAGAAUAAGCGUCGGCUAACUCCGUGCCAGCAGCCGCGGUAAU